AGCAAACAGGAUUAGAUACCUGGUAGUCACGCUGUAAACGAUGUCGAUUUGGAGUUUGGGGGCAUGACCCUUGGGCUCCGGAGCUAACGCGUUAAAUCGACCGCUGGGGAGUACGGCCGCAAGGUUAAAACUCAAAUGAAUUGACGGGGGCCCGCACAAGCGGUGGAGCAUGUGGUUUAAUUCGAUGCAACGCGAAGAACCUUACCUGGUCUUGACAUCCAUAGAAUCUUUCAGAGAUGAGAGAGUGCCUUCGGGAGCUAUGAGACAGGUGCUGCAUGGCUGUCGUCAGCUCGUGUUGUGAAAUGUUGGGUUAAGUCCCGCAACGAGCGCAACCCCUAUCCUUUGUUGCCAGCACGUAAUGGUGGGAACUCAAAGGAGACUGCCGUUGAUAAAGCGGAGGAAGGUGGGGACGACGUCAAGUCAUCAUGGCCCUUACGACCAGGGCUACACACGUGCUACAAUGGCGUAUACAAAGGGAUGCGAAGGUGCGAACUGGAGCGGACCUCACAAAGUACGUCUAAGUCCGGAUUGGAGUCUGCAACUCGACUCCAUGAAGUCGGAAUCGCUAGUAAUCGUGAAUCAGAAUGUCACGGUGAAUACGUUCCCGGGCCUUGUACACACCGCCCGUCACACCAUGGGAGUGGGUUGCACCAGAAGUAGAUAGCUUAACCUUCGGGAGGGCGUUUACCACGGUGUGGUUCAUGACUGGGGUGAAGUCGUAACAAGGUAACCA
rnacentral:rRNA from 1 species